rnacentral:tRNA from 1 species
GCCGGUGUUGCUCAGUGGAUAGAGCCUCAGCCUGCGAACUGAAGGGUCCCGGGUUCGAUUCCCGGUCAGGGCA